GUGGGGAAUCUUCCGCAAUGGACGAAAGUCUGACGGAGCAACGCCGCGUGAGUGAAGAAGGUUUUCGAAUCGUAAAGCUCUGUUGUCAGGGACGAGCAGGGGGAGUAUCAACAACACUUCCUCAUGACGGUACCUGACGAGGAAGCCACGGCUAACUACGUGCCAGCAGCCGCGGUAAUACGUAGGUGGCGAGCGUUGUCCGGAAUUAUUGGGCGUAAAGGGAGCGCAGGUGGGAAAGUAAGUCUGCUUUAAAAGUGCGGGGCUCAACCCCGUGAGGGAGUGGAAACUAUUUUUCUUGAGUGUAGGAGAGGAAAGCGGAAUUCCUAGUGUAGCGGUGAAAUGCGUAGAUAUUAGGAGGAACACCAGUGGCGAAGGCGGCUUUCUGGACUGUAACUGACACUGAGGCGCGAAAGCCAGGGGAGCGAACGGGAUUAGAUACCCGGGUAGUCC
rnacentral:rRNA from 1 species